rnacentral:rRNA from 1 species
CAACGUGGGUGACCUGCCCCCGAGUGGGGAAUAACGCUGCGAAAGCAGCGCUAAUACCGCAUACGCUCCACGCUUCGGUGGGUGGAGGAAAGCGCAUGCGCUCGGGGAGGGGCCUGCGGCCGAUUAGCUAGUCGGUGGGGUAAUGGCCUACCGAGGCGACGAUCGGUAGCUGGUCUGAGAGGAUGGCCAGCCACACUGGGACUGAGACACGGCCCAG